GGGGACACGCUGCCUUUAAGAAACAUAACAGGCACCGUGAGGGUCCACGGCUUCAUUCUUGAAGUUAGUGAGACCAAGAACCCACCUAAUCCCGGGCACAAAACCACCUCAAUCUCCCAAAGACCGAAAGCCCUGGUGUCGCUGGGACCAGAGUUCUGGAGGCUGGAUGUCCAAGAUGAAGGCACUGCUAAACUCUGCAUCUGGAGAGGGUGGUUUCCUGAUUCACGGACAAUGUCUCCUCCCUGUGUCCUCACAUGGCCUCUACUCUGUGCGCACCUGGAGAGAGAGCGCCCCGUCCCUCCCUCUUCUGAUGAGGUCACCAGCCCUAUCAGGAAUGCAGGAAGAUGGACACACGGCUGGGGAAGUACAAUGAAAGGCCAAGUAGGCAGCCUGUUCUCCUCAGAUCAGUCCCCCACGAACACUCAUUCCCGAGGACUCAUCCAAUACUAAUAAGAGAAUGCUCUUGUUUUUGAAGAAUUUUCUGAAAGCCAUCCUGACAAAUUAAGUAGAGUAUGCUGAAGAUAGUCAGACUUUGUUUUUAAGAAUUGAAUAUUCUGGAAGAGGCUCUUCAGUCCAAUCUUUAGUUCUCUCCACAGAGCAAACGAAGUGAAGUGCUGAAGGCCUGGAGCCCGAGCUGUUCCCACACGGACUCCAGGACAGUUAAGGCAGGGUUGCCUUAACUAAAUCUCUGACAACUGUUUCUUCUGUCUUUCUCCUAAAAAUGGAAUGCAGGCCAUCUAUUCUAGGGAAAUAAAGGAUUCUAGUUAUGUGAA
rnacentral:lncRNA from 1 species